rnacentral:misc_RNA from 1 species
GAGAGCCGGAUGAACCGAGAAGUUCAAGUCCGGCUCUAAGAGAGCCUGGGGGUGAGAUUCCUCCAGGGUACUUACCUUCGUGUCCCGUUUUACUUAAU